rnacentral:rRNA from 1 species
GACGAACGCUGGCGGCGUGCUUAACACAUGCAAGUCGAACGGAAAGGCCCCCUUGUGGGGUACUCGAGUGGCGAACGGGUGAGUAACACGUGAGUAACCUACCCUUGACUUUGGGAUAACUUCAGUAAACUGGGGCUAAUACCGGAUAGGAGCUCCUGCUGCAUGGUGGGGGUUGGAAAGUUUCGGCGGUUGGGGAUGGACUCGCGGCUUAUCAGCUUGUUGGUGGGGUAGUGGCUCACCAAGGCUUUGACGGGUAGCCGGCCUGAGAGGGUGACCGGCCACAUUGGGACUGCGAUACGGACCAGACUCCUACGGGAGGCAGCAGUGGGGAAUAUUGCACAAUGGGCGGAAGCCUGAUGCAGCAACGCCGCGUGCGGGAUGACGGCCUUCGGGUUGUAAACCGCUUUCGCCUGUGACGAAGCGUGAGUGACGGUAAUGGGUAAAGAAGCACCGGCUAACUACGUG